GGCUGCAGAGUCGUGACGAACCUCGCAGGCACUCGGGGAUCGCCCGUCGUUUUCUUGGUUUUUUUUUUUAUUUAAAAUCGUUUUUUCGACGCGAGUCCCACAUGAAAACUAGCACGUAAACCGUGAUUUGUUUUCGUUCCCGAGAUCGAUCGUUUUGACGUGCGAAAAUUGUAUUGCCAGUCGAAUCGAGCGUAGCUGAGGUCCACACACGAUACCGUGUUAUAAUAUUAUUAUAAUCGUAUUCACGAGAAAAUCGAAAUUUCGCGAAAAUUCCAAUAGCAGAGAAGUUCGCGAAAACGCACGAAACUAUAUUAUAUUUUGACAUACCGAUAACGCCGCAUCGCGUACGACAUCAUGGCCACCUGUAAAUCUUGUAACGCGCUGAUGAGCUCUCUAGUCCUGCUGUUAUCCUGCGUGCUGCGAUGUACGGUUGCGGUUCAGACGGACGCACAAGCAAUGAUGUAUUUAUCUCAAUUUGGUUACUUAAGCCCUUCGAUGAAAAAUCCGAAUUCAGGUCAUAUCAUGUCUGAGGAAACAAUGGCCCGGGCGUUAAUGGAGUUUCAAUCAUUCGUUGGUCUAAAUCUGACAGGUCACUUGGAUGACGAAACGCUACACUAUAUGAGUAUGCCUAGAUGUGGUGUAAGAGAUAAAGUCGGGUUUGCCACAGACUCCAGGUCUAGGAGAUAUGCUCUACAAGGUAGCCGGUGGAGGGUGAAAGACUUGACGUAUAAAAUAUCCAAGUAUCCUAAACUGCUGGGUAAGUCGGAAACGGACUCGGAAAUCCGGAAAGCAUUCGACGUAUGGUCUGACGUCACACCGUUGACGUUUACUCACAAAAAAUCCGGACAAGUGCACAUCGAAAUCAGAUUUGAAAAAGGCGAGCAUGGUGAUGGUGAUCCAUUCGACGGACCAGGUGGAACUUUGGCACAUGCUUUCUUUCCGGUUUACGGGGGUGAUGCUCAUUUUGAUGACUCAGAAAAAUGGUCAAUAGGUUCAUUUAAAGGUACUAACUUGUUUCAAGUAGCAGCUCAUGAAUUCGGUCACUCAUUAGGAUUGUCUCACUCAGACGUCCGGUCGGCAUUAAUGGCUCCAUUUUAUAGAGGUUAUAAUCCGUCAUUUAAUUUGGACAGCGACGAUGUGGAAGCCAUUCAGGCUCUGUACGGCGCUAGCACCUCGGGAGAAUCAGACAACGAUGACGACAGCACUAGCCAAGGAUCGGGUAAAAAGACAACAACGCAAGAACCACCGGGCACAGAGGGCAGUGACGCUGAAUUAUGCACAGACACUAAAGUGAACGCUUUGUUCAAUUCGGCCGCCGGUGAAACUUUUGUGUUUAAAGGUGAUUACUAUUGGAAGUUGACGGACGACGGACUGGCUCAAGGAUUUCCCAAGUCCAUCGCGGGCACGUGGUCUGGCCUGCCGGGCAACAUAGACGCCGCGUUUACGUAUAAAAACGGUAAAACUUACUUCUUCAAAGGCACAAAGUAUUGGAAGUACACUGAUACCACGAUGGACGACGGAUAUCCAAAAGACAUAAGCGACGGCUUCGCCGGUAUCCCAGACAAUGUUGACGCCGCUCUUGUUUGGAGUGGAAACGGAAAGAUUUACUUUUUCAAAGGCUCAAAGUUCUGGAAAUUCGACCCGAUGCAAAAGCCCCCUGUAAAGAGCACGUAUCCGAAGCCUAUCAGCAACUGGGAUGGUAUACCGGAUAACAUUGACGCGGUUUUGCAUUACACCAAUGGCUAUACAUAUUUUUUCAAAGAUGAGAACUAUUACAGGUUCAACGACAGGACGUUUGCAGUCGAUACUGCAGACCCACCUUUCCCUCGCAAUGCUGGUUAUUGGUGGUUUGGCUGUAGGGCUGAAAAUAAGGGACAUCGGCAAGAAGUGACCGCAGCGCCCAGCAUACUCAGACCAACGUGGAUGGAAGUCAGGCGGGAUCACAAGGGCAAUCAAAAUACGGAUGUUGGUGAUCUAAUAAUGGACGCAGCUGUGUAAGCAAGUGGUUCGGUGCUGAACGGUUCGCUCGCAUUAUGGAUAUCGGUAUGCUGGUAUGCUGAAGAAGAUAGUGGCCACACCGGUAUUUUGAAAAUGUGAAACUGUGCGGGGGACCGCAUCGAUUUAUUAUAUUGUUUGUUGAAUGUUUUGGACACGGUGUAAUACCUUACCUACACGUCAAGUGCCGAAUACAACUACCGAACCUACCGAGUUAUUGACCGACUGCAGCGCCGCCGUGCCGGAGGCCUGUUUUUGUAUACAUCGGUAUAACACCUAUACAAAUAUGAAAAAACAAAUAAUAAUUGUUAUUAGGAUUCAAAAGGCCCUUGUACUGCCUUUAGUAUUUAUUCCGAACUUUGAAUGUACGAGUUCAGGGUCGACUUUCUUAAAGAGACUGAAUUUUACACAUCGUUAUAUAAUAUUAUAUGUACCCAUUUAUUUAAGCUAAUGUCAUUAUAUAUAGUUUUUAUAGUAAAUAUUAUUAUUAUUUUAUUGUAAUAUACGUAGGUAUAUGUACGUUUGUUUUGUUUGAAAAUUAAUAUUAUUCUCAUUCCUUGUAGACAUGAUAUUAUUUUGUAUUUUAUUUUAAUAAUAAUAAUUAUCUCGUGAAACAAUAUUAUGUUGCAUUUAUAUAUUAUUUAGUAUAUAUUGUUCAACUUUUACAAUUUUCGAAUGAAAUUUGAAAUAUUGUUUGAAAAUAUAGAAGAUGUAACUACUGAUUUAAGUGUAUUUUAUUCUAGAAUCAUCGACUCGUUUUUGUAGUUAAAAACAAUGAAUAAUUUGAACGUCUUAAACGGAAGAAAAUAUUACAAAAUACUUAUUUAUCAAUCACCUUGUCUUAAAGUGUAUUAACAAUGUAAUUGUAUUAAGCUUGUUAUAUUAUUUAAAAUAUAGUGGUUGCUCCUAGUAAAA
rnacentral:misc_RNA from 1 species